UUCGAAGCCAGCCCAAGCAGAAAAGUCCAUGAGACUCUUAUCUCCAACCAGCCAGCAAAAAACUGGAAGUGGAGGUAUAGCUGAAGUGAUAGAGGGCCAAACUUGAGGGAAAAAGUUACGGAAGAGCCUGAAGCACUGAGAUCAAGCCACAGACUAUUACAAAAAAACAAAAAGGCAAUCAAAUAAAAUAUACAUUAAAGGUUUAUCUAAAUUAGUUUAAAAUGUAUGUCUAUAUAAAAUCUGCACACAUACAUUUGUUACAUACUCAUAAUAGCUAAAACUUGGAGAUAACCAAAAUGUCCUUUAGUAGGUGAAUGGAUAAACGUAGUAGAUCCAGACAAUAUUGUUCUAUGCUAAAAAAUAAAUGAAUUAUAAAGCUAUCAAAAGACACAUUGAAACUUUACAAAAAUGCACAUUGUAAAAGUGAAAAGCGAUCUGAAAGACCACAUAUUGUAUGGUGUCAACAAUGUGACAUUCUGGCAAAGACAACACCGUAGAGGCUGGGAGGAAGAGGGAUGAAAAGGAAGAGCAGACACAAUUUUUAUGGCAGUGAAACCAUUCUGUAUGACACUAUACUGGUGAUACACAUCUCUAAAUAUUUGUCAACCCCAUGGAAUAUGCAACUCAUUCUGUGGAAUCUUAAAUCUAUGAAUUUUUUAAUUUAAUUUUUCCUGAACUUCACAAGGUUGUACAUUGAGUUGUCCAUCUGAGUAUCUAGCACUUCUUGAUCUGUCUUCUCAUGUAAGGAUGACUCCUCUUACUGAAGUUAUUGAAAUUCACUGCUCCUCAUAGACACAGUGGUCACGGGAUUUGAAAGUAAACACAUCAAAUGAGAGUGCUUACACAUUCAAAUGUGUACUAAAUGUUUACUAAACAUACUCUUAUACAAUCAUUUAUCUUUAAUGCCCACUUCAUGUCUUCCCUAAACUAUAAUCCCCUGAAGAUUUAUGAAAAAUAUCAGAUUAGAUCUCAGGAGAAUAAACCUAUGAAAUAACAAAAUAUCCCUCAGAUUUUACUUGGUGAAUACACACUAUCAGGACAAUGCAAUCUAGGAGGAAAUGUAAUCAUGAACAUAAGACUAAAACUCUAGCGAUUUCAAAAAGACAUUCACCGAAAAUUAUGAUGGGCGUGGGAAAUUGUGUGUCCUUGGAGAAAAUGAGAAUGUUUAUCCUAGAAAAGAUAAAAGAAACUUACUUCUCUUUCACUAUGAGCCUACAGGGUAAGUCACAUGGAGGCAGAUUCCAACCCAGUAUAAGUAAAGCUUUAAAGAAGAAAAAUGAAUGAAAACUAUCUGAAAAUUU